AAAUUGAAGAGUUUGAUCAUGGCUCAGAUUGAACGCUGGCGGCAGGCCUAACACAUGCAAGUCGAGCGGAAACGAGUUAUCUGAACCUUCGGGGAACGAUAACGGCGUCGAGCGGCGGACGGGUGAGUAAUGCCUAGGAAAUUGCCCUGAUGUGGGGGAUAACCAUUGGAAACGAUGGCUAAUACCGCAUGAUGCCUACGGGCCAAAGAGGGGGACCUUCGGGCCUCUCGCGUCAGGAUAUGCCUAGGUGGGAUUAGCUAGUUGGUGAGGUAAGGGCUCACCAAGGCGACGAUCCCUAGCUGGUCUGAGAGGAUGAUCAGCCACACUGGAACUGAGACACGGUCCAGACUCCUACGGGAGGCAGCAGUGGGGAAUAUUGCACAAUGGGCGCAAGCCUGAUGCAGCCAUGCCGCGUGUGUGAAGAAGGCCUUCGGGUUGUAAAGCACUUUCAGUCGUGAGGAAGGUAGUGUAGUUAAUAGCUGCAUUAUUUGACGUUAGCGACAGAAGAAGCACCGGCUAACUCCGUGCCAGCAGCCGCGGUAAUACGGAGGGUGCGAGCGUUAAUCGGAAUUACUGGGCGUAAAGCGCAUGCAGGUGGUUUGUUAAGUCAGAUGUGAAAGCCCGGGGCUCAACCUCGGAAUUGCAUUUGAAACUGGCAGACUAGAGUACUGUAG
rnacentral:rRNA from 1 species